rnacentral:rRNA from 1 species
CCUAACACAUGCAAGUCGAACGGUAACAGGAAGAAGCUUGCUUCUUUGCUGACGAGUGGCGGACGGGUGAGUAAUGUCUGGGAAACUGCCUGAUGGAGGGGGAUAACUACUGGAAACGGUAGCUAAUACCGCAUAACGUCGCAAGACCAAAGAGGGGGACCUUCGGGCCUCUUGCCAUCAGAUGUGCCCAGAUGGGAUUAGCUAGUAGGUGGGGUAACGGCUCACCUAGGCGACGAUCCCUAGCUGGUCUGAGAGGACGACCAGCCACACUGGAACUGAGACACGGUCCAGACUCCUACGGGAGGCAGCAGUGGGGAAUAUUGCACAAUGGGCGCAAGCCUGAUGCAGCCAUGCCGCGUGUAUGAAGAAGGCCUUCGGGUUGUAAAGUACUUUCAGCGGGGAGGAAGGGAGUAAAGUUAAUACCUUUGCUCAUUGACGUUACCCGCAGAAGAAGCACCGGCUAACUCCGUGCCAGCAGCCGC